GCUCUGGCUCAGGACGAACGCUGGCGGCGUGCCUAAUACAUGCAAGUAGAACGCUGAAGGAGAAGCUUGCUUCUCUGGAUGAGUUGCGAACGGGUGAGUAACGCGUAGGUAACCUGCCUGGUAGCGGGGGAUAACUAUUGGAAACGAUAGCUAAUACCGCAUAACAGUAGAUGUUGCAUGACAUUUGCUUAAAAGGUGCAAUUGCAUCACUACCAGAUGGACCUGCGUUG
rnacentral:rRNA from 1 species